rnacentral:lncRNA from 1 species
GGAGGUGCUGCUGUUGAGCAACUGAACCUGGGCUAUAAAAAGUGGGGNCCUCCUUAGCUCUUGUGAUCACCGCUGGAGGUUUCUGAGAGAUCAGCUACUAGCAAGGUUGCUGGAAGAAACUGCUCAAAAUGUCUAAGACUGACAUGGAAGAAGCCUGCGACAAGAUCAUUGCAAUCUUUCAUGAAUACUCAAAACGCUCUAAAGAUGAUAAUACCGACCUUCUGGAUAUAACGGAAUUCAAGAAGAUGGUUGACGAACAGUUCAUCCACUGUCUUGUGAACUUCCGCCAACCACAAAGUAUCGAUCAACUCUUCCAGGAAAUGGACAAAAAUAAGGACGGAUGUCUGAAUUUUCCAGAGUUCAUGGAUGUGCUGGGGCAAUUCCUCAUCUGUUGUCAUGAUAAGUUCCAUAAAGGGGAUACUCCUCACCACGACUGAUAAAAGGACUCACCGAUGUCCAGUGGAANGGAACCUGGGGAGACCUGCUGAGUCACUGCGAAAUAUGUAUCGUUUCUCCCAAAUACUCUUGAUUCCAG